rnacentral:rRNA from 1 species
GAAUUUUUAAAUGGCUGCAGAAUUUUUACUGUACUAAGGUAGCAUAAUAAUUUGUUUUUUAAUUAAAAACUAGAAUGAAAGAUUUAAUGAAAUAUAAACUGUUUCAAUUAAUUUUUUAUUAAAUUUUUUAUUUAAGUAAAAAAACUUAAAUAAUUUUUAAAGACGACAAGACCCUAUAGAAUUUUAUUUUUAUUUUUUUUUAAAAAAAAAUAAAAAUUUUAUUGGGGUAAUAAAAAAAUUUAUUUAAUUUUUUUUUAAAUAAACAUUUUUUUUGAAUUUUUAAUCUUAAUUUUUAAAUUAAAAAAAUUAAUUACCUUAGGGAUAACAGCAUAAUUUUUUUUAAAANANCAUAUUUAUAAAAAAGUUUA